UACGGAGGAUCCAAGCGUUAUCCGGAAUUACUGGGCGUAAAGAGUUGCGUAGGUGGCAGAGUAUGUCUGUAGUGAAAGCGUUCGGCUCAACCGAAUAAACAUUAUGGAAACUGCUCGGCUAGAGGACGAGAGAGGUUAUUGGAAUUCCCAGUGUAGGAGUGAAAUCCGUAGAUAUUGGGAGGAACACCGAUGGCGUAGGCAGAUAACUGGCUCGUUCCUGACACUAAGGCACGAAAGCGUGGGGAGCAAACGGG
rnacentral:rRNA from 1 species